AUUUCAGAAAAGGAAGCAUGAUGGAGAUGAAGAUCUUAAUGACGUUCAAAGGCAAAAAAAAAGUAAGCAUAAGAACUCAAAGAUUGAUGAAAUGGGUGCAAUAAAGGUAGCAGGCUGAAGAAAUGGCAUACUAUAGUUCAUUUAUUGUCUCAGAUGGUUGUUGUUGAGAGUUUGGAGGGGUUUUCCACUUGGAUGAUGUCAAAUAGCUUGAGAUUAGAACUGACUAAAGAAUGUUAAGAAGGUGAAUUCACCAGUGAAGUGUGUGGAUGCAAGGUAAAAAAGUGACUGAAUAUGAACUUUUUGUAUCAUAACAGUGGUCUAAUAUAAUUUUUGGUAACCUGGAAAACUUUGUCCUUUUUU